AUGGUCGCCGCCGCCGCCGCCCGCCGCAAGCGCUCCCGCCUGGCGCCGCGGUCGCCGGCGGCGACGGCGCGCCCCCGCCCGCCGCCGCCGCAGCUGACGGCGCUCCUGGCGCAGCUGGCCACGUCGGUCUCCCUGGCGCUGCGCUUCGCGUCGGACAAGGACCUGCUGCUCCGCCCCUCCCAGGCGCUGGCGCUCGACCCGCUGCUGCUCGCCGCGGCGCGGGCCGUGUCGCGGCUCCUGGCGCUGCUCCCGCUCCACCUCCAGACCAUCACGCUCACCUCGCUCUCGCUCUCCCCGCCCACGCCGCCGCCCUCGCUGCCCUCCUCCUGGUUCCUCCGCCUCGUCUCCGCCUCCCCCGCGCUCCCGGACUCCGCCUGGCGCGACGCCUUCCGCAUGUCCCGCCCGGCCUUCUACGCGCUCCUCCGCUCCCUCGCGCUCCCCGACCCCGCCGCCGCAUCCUCCUCCCUCGCGCUGCCGGCCGACCACAAGCUCGGCGCCGCGCUCUACCGCCUCGCGCACGCCGCCCCGGCCCGCGCCGUGGCGCGCCGCUUCGGCCUCCCUUCCCCGGCCGCCGCGGCGCAAGCCUUCUACGAGGUCUGCCGCGCCGUCGCCGACCGCCUCGCCGCCCUGCUCGACCUCGCCGCGCCCGACCGCAUCUCCCGCGCCGUCCCGGGCUUCUGCGCGCUCUCCCUCCCCAACUGCUGCGGCGCGCUCGGCUACGCGCGCUUCGGGGGCGCCGCGGUCACCGCGCAGGCCCUGGUCGACGCCGAGGGCCGCUUCCUCGACGUCUCCGUCGGCUGGGACCCGGCCGAGGCGCCGCCGGAGGUCCUCCCGCGGACCAAGCUCUACACCUCGCAGUCGCUCGUGCUCGCCAACGCGCCCCACGGCGAGCUCAUCGGCGGCUCCGUGCCGCGCUACUUCCUCGCGCCCGCCUGCUGCCCGCUGCUCCCCUGGCUCGUCACGCCCUACAGGGACGCCGGCGCCACGGACGGUGCGUCCAAGGAGCGCAUCUUCAACAACGUGCACGCGCAGGGGGCGCGGCUGGUGAGGAGCGCGUUCGGCCGCGUGCGCGCGCGGUGGCAGCUGCUCGAGGAGUGCUGGAAGGGCGAGUGCCAGGAGGCGCUGCCGUACGUCGUGGUCGCCGGCUGCCUGCUGCACAACUUUCUCAUCAAGUGCGGCGAGCCGAUGCCCGACGCGGCGGCUCCGGCGGACGCCGGCGCCGACGCGUUUGAGGACUUCGAGGGGGAGAAUGACAAGGAAGGGGAGAGGAUCCGGGAUGUUCUUGCCGUGCAUUUGAGCUUGGUGAGCCGUACCCAGUGA
rnacentral:rRNA from 1 species